AUGAGAGAGGGAGAGAGACAAGGAAGGAGAGGAGGGAGAAAGAUCUCCCUCAUCGUCCUCGUCGCCAUCUGCCACUCCUCUGCCGUGCCCAGACCGCGGGAAGAAGCCGAGAAGGGAGGCCGGCCGGCGGCGGCCACGCUCGACAAGAUCCUCGCAUUAGCCUCAAGGGAGAGGAGGUCUACGUCCCCCGUCCGUGUGAAGGGCGCGAACCAGGGCAGUGGAGGCGCAGGGCGCGAACGAGAGGAGAAGGUUGAGCAUCCCGCCGACGACAUCGUUUCGAGCUCAAGAUGGUCUACAGAUACAUGCAACAAUUGA
rnacentral:rRNA from 1 species